rnacentral:ncRNA from 1 species
UAAAGCAAAGCACUGAAAAUGCUUAGACGGGUGAUUUUAUAACCCCAUUGAACACAUAGGUUUGGUCCUGGCCUUUUUACUAAUUACUAAUAAACUUACACAUGCAAGAAUCCUCGCCCCGGUGAAAAUGCCCAUUAGCCAUUCUUAAUGGCAUAGGAGCUGGUAUCAAGCACACUAUAAGUAGCUAACAACACCUUGCUAAGCCACACCCCCACGGGAACACAGCAGUGAUAAAAAUUAAGCAAUAGAUGAAAAUCUGACUAAGUUAUAUUUUUAAGGUCUGGUAAAUAUCGUGCCAGCCACCGCGGUCAUACGAUUAGGCCAAAUUAAUAAAUAUCGGCGUAAAGUGUGUUCAAGAAUUUAACCCACCAAUAAAGUUGAACUUUAACUAAACUGUAAAAAGCCCUAGUUAAUGUAAUAUAACUCACAAAAGUAACUUUAAAACAUCCAAUACACGAUAGCUGAGACCUAAACUGGGAUUAGAUACCCCACUAUACUCAGCCCUAAACAUAAAAAAUUAUUCAAACAAAAUUAUUCGCCAGAGUACUACUAGCAAAAGCUAAAAACUCAAAGGACUUGGCGGUGCCUUAUAUCCUUCUAGAGGAGCCUGUUCCAUAAUCGAUAAACCCCGAUAAACCUUACCAACCCUUGCUAAAACAGCCUAUAUACCGCCAUCUUCAGCAAACCCUAAAAAGGAAUUAUAGUAAGCUUAAAUAUUAACAUAAAAACGUUAGGUCAAGGUGUAGCUUAUGAGUUGGAGAGAAAUGGGCUACAUUUCCCAAAUAGGGAAAUCCAUACGAAAACUAAUAUGAAAUUAUUAGUUAAAGGUGGAUUUAGCAGUAAACUAAGAAUAGAGUGCUUAGUUGAAUAAGGCCAUGAGGCACGCACACACCGCCCGUCACCCUCUUCAAAUAAUUAACACUACUAGGUUUACCUAAAUAUAAUAGUAAACUUUAUAGAAGAGACAAGUCGUAACAAGGUAAGUGUACUGGAAAGUGCACUUGGAUAACU